rnacentral:rRNA from 1 species
AUUGAACGCUGGCGGCAGGCCUAACACAUGCAAGUCGAGCGGAUGAAGGGAGCUUGCUCCUGGAUUCAGCGGCGGACGGGUGAGUAAUGCCUAGGAAUCUGCCUGGUAGUGGGGGAUAACGUCCGGAAACGGGCGCUAAUACCGCAUACGUCCUGAGGGAGAAAGUGGGGGAUCUUCGGACCUCACGCUAUCAGAUGAGCCUAGGUCGGAUUAGCUAGUUGGUGGGGUAAAGGCCUACCAAGGCGACGAUCCGUAACUGGUCUGAGAGGAUGAUCAGUCAAAAUGGAACGGAGACAUGGGCCAGACUCCUACGGGAGGAAGCAGUGGGGAAGAGUGGACAAUGGGCGAAAGCAUGGUCCAGCGAUGCCGCGUGUGUGAAGAAGGUAUGCGGAUUGUAAAGCACUUUAAGUUGGGAGGAAGGGCAGUAAGAGAAGACCGGGCUGUGAUGACGGGACCGACAGAAUAAGCAACGGCGAACGGCGUG